rnacentral:lncRNA from 1 species
CUCACUUUUCAAUGGUCAAAACUGCUGUCAAUUCUUAGAAAUGACCGAUAAUUGGUCAGGAGAAAAUACUCCCAUCAGCCUCCAGCAGCUUCAACUUCCUUAGCUCCCAAAGCUGUCUUAAAGGUAAAGUAACCCUUUGACAGUGUGAUUUCCUCCCCCUUAUCCCAACAUGCACACUAAUAUUACAUUAGGCAUUUUGUGCAUUUCCUCCUGUGCUGAUCAGAGGAGGGAGAGAGGAGCACAUGAGAUCCAGGUGGCCACAGAAGACAUACUUAUGUCCAAAAACUGGAGAAAAACCAUGAAGAGUUAAAUAAGUAUUUUUGGACACUCCUGUGGCUAUCUUUAUUUCUACCCUACUAAGAAGAAAAGUCAUGGCCAUUUGGUUUUGGAUUCAUCACAUUAUUGGAAAAGUAUCUGUUCUCUCUUAUUAACUUCAAAGGCAACACAACCAGAUUGUCACUGUAAAGAUGAGGAAGGACUGACAAGGUCUUCUGAAAUGCCUGCACUCAUCCUGGCUCUUGAAAGGUCUGGAUUGUUUACAGGCAGCUACAAAGCCAACCCAAGCCAAAACACAUCAGUGGAAAUACAUCCAUUCAUUUAAAUGAAUUUAAAGAAGAGUUUUCAUUGCAGCUUUUCCUGACUGUGAUGCCUCCCAUCAAUUAAAUGAUGAGGACAGGUUUGUGAUUGUCAACAAUGUGCCUUGUCUUGCAAUCUGGUGGAAAGAAAACCAGUAGGCUGAAUCAUAAUAUCUUCAUAUUAUUAUUCAUAUUAUCAAUCUUCUUCCUUGACAGCUACGCAUUUUAUAAUUAAUAAUGUAUAUCUUAUUUGGCAAGGUAUUUCCACUUUAGGCAUUGUGGAGAAUUAGCUUCUAAAGUACUAUUAAAGGUAUUCACGUCUGGGGCAAAUACUAGAAACAGAAUUUGCAAAAUAUGGUGGAACAUCAGAACAAAAAAUACAUUUGAACUUUGGAAAAAAUUUGGAAAAAUAAAAACACCCAAAUUUUAACUGUCUCCCA